GAGGUGAGGUUUUUGUUGGCUCUCAGCAAACUAAGGAGCGAAGAGAAGCUCUCUUUGGUCAGCUGUCAGUCUUUGGAUUUUUUGACUCAUGUUAGUUGGUUCUGUUACUAGAUGUUUAGUGUAUGGAAUGCUUUGUGGUUUGGGCGUGGUUAUUUUUCAAAAGCUUUUGGAGUUGGAACUUUUUGGAUCUGAUUCAGUCCUGGUUACCCUGGAAACCAUCAUUGCAUCAGUCAAACUUUUCUGUCGUUGACCUACGUGAAGACGUCCUUUAACCUGCAGAAGUAGACUUAACUUCACUCACCCCUAAACGUUUUCCACAUCUCACUCAAUUUAAUUAAUUUGAUUACGUCAGAACGGAUGGAAGGAUGGAGGAAUAUCUGGUUGACAGCAAAAUGAACACCAGCAGUAAAAGGAGUUCAUCGGUAGAGACAGGUGAGGAGAGUUUCAACAGAGGACUACUGGAUCAGCAUCAACCUACCCACAGUAGAGAGAAACCACAUCGCUGUAAUCAAUGUGGAAAGAGUUUCAAGCAGUCAUCGAACUUGAGGGAUCAUCAACUUGUCCACACUGGAGAAAAGCCUUAUGUCUGUGACCAGUGUGGGAAGAGUCAUCAGUUUAGAACAUAUAUUCAAAUUGUAUGAAACAAGUGCCCUGUUAAAAGUUGACAUGUGGUUUAAAAUAUUCAGUUAUAUUCACAUGCAUUCAGUUUAAAUUGUCAGAUUUGUUUAGUUUUAUUUCCACUGUCAAAGCUGCAGCAGCAAACACACAUACACCUACACACACACGCAUAAAUACACACUAAGCUCCCCUAAAGAGCAACGCGCUACCGGACAGUAAUGGCUAAAAAGCCACAUGCUACCUGCUGACCACUGUGGGUUGACAAUAACUGCAUGUUGUCUUUGCAUAGUCCUAAUUGUCUACAGACAAUGCAAGAUGUCCAACUCUGUAACAGUAUACUUGCCCAGAUUCUAAAAUAUUUGGUAUUGUCUGUAAAGUAUACAACAAAACUGAGUACACCCCUGUGCAAUAUCACCAAAAUGUUGAAUGACAUAAAACUGUUUCAUCUUUAACUUUAGUAAAAUAUGUAAAAGCAGCAAUACAACCAAAUGCUCAUCUCUCAAGUCAAAGUAGGAGUAUUAUGAACAACAUGUACUUAAAGUAACAAAAGUAAAAGUACUCACGCCGAGUAAGUAAAGUAAAA